CUACGGCCAUAACACAUUGAAACUCCGGUUCCCGUAUGAUCACCGAAUUUAAGCAACCACGAGCUUGGUUAGUAUCUAAAUAGGCGACCGCUCGGGAAUAUCAAGUGCUGUAAG